rnacentral:snRNA from 1 species
AGCUUCACAGUGGCAGUGUCAUAGCCAGUAGGGUUUACGCAAGGUGUGAUGAUUGCCAACUGAAGACUUUCCCCAGUACCCCACACACACGACGACUUGCAAUGUAGUCGGCAUUGGCAAGUUUUGACAGUCUCCAUGGAGA